AUGGACGGACCGAGCGUCAUCCAGCUUAAGUGUUACCCUCCUGCUACGCCGAAGGUGGAGGAAGAGGUUGAAGAGGAGGUGGACGAAGAUGAAGAUGGAGAAGAAGAGACGCUGAGUUCUGAUGAUGACGAUGACGGAACCUACGAGGAGUUAAAUACUGCAGCCAUUAUGACCACUUUCACGCAGAAGAGCCAAGAAAAAGGAGAUGGCAUGAAGAUCGUGGUGGUCUACCGCCACACCCUCUUCUCGACGCCGUCGGACGGAGGCGAGCAGCUAGUGCGGGGAGACACGGAGGGGCACACGAUUCGGUUCGUCGUUCCGCCUGCCCGCAACACUGCGAGGGCUCUGCGGUUGGUCGGCGCGUCGCUGUCCGCGAUGGUAUACCCCGGCCACCUCCGUGAAAGGCUCCGGGACCUAUGGUCGAACUUGAUCUUGUUGCCCGAGAUGAAGCACCGCCUUGGGCGGCGAGCCGGAGUCGAGGUGCGCUUUGACGCGUUUAGCUUCCCGGAGGCUGACGACACCCCGGAGCGCAGGGAGAGCGUGUUCGCGGUGGCAGAUGGCAUGUCGAAGGAGCCGUGGCCCGAGUGCCAGUGCCAUGGCGGAAUGGAGUACCGCCUGCCCGAAACGGCGCCGAUGCGGCGCAUCGCGGAGAGCGAAGCAGCUGGGCUGGAUUGCCCCGUCUGUUUGCACCUGCUCGAGGGAGACGAUCUUGCUGCGUGGCCGGGAUGCUCUAGGCCCCACGUCUUCCAUGGUGCGUGCUUGAAGCUCGCGCUCAAGAAGAUUGACAGGUGCCCCAUCUGCAGGUGCUUCCUGCAAAUCGAGCCCGAACCACUACCACUAGAGACCACUGAGGAUAAGGAGGGCGACGGAGACGCGGCCUUGGCGAUUGCCGCCGGCGGCAAGCCUAAAAGCGUUCGGCGGGAUGUAGCUAUAGCAUUCUUGGGUCUCAUUUUGUUUGUUUGUAUGAUGAUGAUAGGGUUAAUCAGAUUCAUGAUGCAUUACGGGUGA
rnacentral:rRNA from 1 species